rnacentral:rRNA from 1 species
UACAGAGGGUGCGAGCGUUAAUCGGAAUUACUGGGCGUAAAGCGCGCGUAGGCGGCUUUGCAAGUCGGGUGUGAAAUCCCCAGGCUUAACCUGGGAACUGCAUUCGAGACUGCAUUGCUAGAGUAUGGGAGAGGGAAGUGGAAUUUCCGGUGUAGCGGUGAAAUGCGUAGAUAUCGGAAAGAACACCAACGGCGAAAGCACUCUGCUGGGCCGGUACUGACGCUGAGGUGCGAAAGCGUGGGGAGCAAACAGG